rnacentral:rRNA from 1 species
GAGGAAUAUUGGUCAAUGGACGCAAGUCUGAACCAGCCAUGCCGCGUGCAGGAAGACGGCUCUAUGAGUUGUAAACUGCUUUUGUACGAGGGUAAACGCUCUUACGUGUAAGAGCCUGAGAGUAUCGUACGAAUAAGGAUCGGCUAACUCCGUGCCAGCAGCCGCGGUAAUACGGAGGAUCCAAGCGUUAUCCGGAUUUAUUGGGUUUAAAGGGUGCGUAGGCGGUUUGAUAAGUUAGAGGUGAAAUACCGGUGCUUAACACCGGAACUGCCUCUAAUACUGUUGAACUAGAGAGUAGUUGCGGUAGGCGGAAUGUAUGGUGUAGCGGUGAAAUGCUUAGAGAUCAUACAGAACACCGAUUGCGAAGGCAGCUUACCAAACUAUAUCUGACGUUGAGGCACGAAAGCGUGGGGAGCAAAC